AAAUUUUGCACAUGGAGGAUAUGAAACAAAAUAUUUUUUUUAGGUUUUAUAUACACAUUUGAAUAACUAAAAAAUCAUAAAUUACUACAUCAAUACUAUAGAAUUCAACUAUAAUUUAUCAAGCUUAGGAACUAAGAUGUAUUUUGGUCUCAAAAAUAUGAAAUUUCGAGCAGACUAAAGACACAACCUACUCAUUGAAAUCUUAUUUCAAGAGAAAGAAAUGGUGGAAGGAAUGCUAGAAAGACUGAGAAAACCACUAGGGGGAUAUUCUGAGCUUCUAAUUGGUUAUUCAUGUCAUAUAUAGAA